UUAAGAAUCUUGUGCAAUGGACGAAAGUAUGACGCAGCGACGCCGCGUGAAGGAUGAAGGCUUUCGGGUUGUAAACUUCGGUAGACUGGGAAGAAAAAGUAAGUUCGUUGAGGGCUUACAUUGACGGUACCAGUCUGAAGCCCCGGCUAAUUACGUGCCAGCAGCCGCGGUAAUACGUAUGGGGCAAGCGUUGUUCGGAAUUAUUGGGCGUAAAGGGCUCGCAGGUGGUUUGUUAAGUUGGAGGUUUAAUCUCUGGGCUCAACCCAGAGUCAGCCCUCAAAACUGGCGAACAUGAGUACGAUAGGGGAUAGCGGAAUGCUCGGUGUAGCGGUGUAAUGCGUAGAUAUCGAGACGAACACCAAUGGCGAAGGCAGCGAUCUGGACCGUAACUGACACUCAUGAGCGAAAGUGCGGGGAGCAAACA
rnacentral:rRNA from 1 species